rnacentral:rRNA from 1 species
AUUGAACGCUGGCGGCAGGCUUAACACAUGCAAGUCGAGCGGGGAAGGGUAGCUUGCUACCUAACCUAGCGGCGGACGGGUGAGUAAUGCUUAGGAAUCUGCCUAUUAGUGGGGGACGGCAUUCCGAAAGGAAUGCUAAUACCGCAUACGCCCUACGGGGGAAAGCAGGGGAUCUUCGGACCUUGCGCUAAUAGACGAGCCUAAGUCAGAUUAGCUAGUUGGUGGGGUAAAGGACUACCAAGGCGACGAUCUGUAGCGGGUCUGAGAGGAUGAGCCGCCACACUGGAACGGAGACACGGCCCAGACUCCUACGGGAGGCAGCAGUGGGCAAUAUUGGACAAUGGGCGAAAGCCUGAUUCAGCCAUGCCGCGUGUGUGAAGAAGGCCUUUUGGUUGUAAAGCACUUUAAGCGAGGAGGAGGCUACUUGGAUUAAUACUCUAGGAUAGUGGACGUUACUCGCAGAAUAAGCACCGGCUAACUCUGUGCCAGCCGCCGCAGUAA